AACAUCGCGCACCUGCGGGAACCUGCGGAGGGAUCAUUACCGAGUGUUUAGGGCCCCUCUGGGGUCCAACCUCCCACCCGUGUCUAUCGUACCUUGUUGCUUCGGCGGGCCCGCCGUCGCGGCCGCCGGGGGGCGUCCCGCCCCCGGGCCCGUGCCCGCCGAAGACCCCAUUCUGAACGCUUGUCUGAAGGGUGCAGUCUGAGUGAUUAGCUAAAUCGGUUAAAACUUUUAACAAUGGAU
rnacentral:misc_RNA from 1 species